GAGUUUGAUCCUGGCUCAAGACGAACGCUGGUGGCGCGCCUAACACAUGCAAGUCGAACGAGCGAGAGAGAGCUUGCUUUCUCGAGCGAGUGGCGAACGGGUGAGUAACGCGUGAGGAACCUGCCUCAAAGAGGGGGACAACAGUUGGAAACGACUGCUAAUACCGCAUAAGCCCACGACCCGGCAUCGGGUAGAGGGAAAAGGAGCAAUCCGCUUUGAGAUGGCCUCGCGUCCGAUUAGCCAGUUGGUGAGGUAAUGGCCCACCAAGGCGACGAUCGGUAGCCGGACUGAGAGGUUGAACGGCCACAUUGGGACUGAGACACGGCCCAGACUCCUACGGGAGGCAGCAGUGGGGAAUAUUGCACAAUGGGGGAAACCCUGAUGCAGCGACGCCGCGUGGAGGAAGAAGGUCUUCGGAUUGUAAACUCCUGUUGUUGAGGAAGAUAAUGACGGUACUCAACAAGGAAGUGACGGCUAACUACGUGCCAGCAGCCGCGGUAAAACGUAGGUCACAAGCGUUGUCCGGAAUUACUGGGUGUAAAGGGAGCGCAGGCGGGAAGGCAAGUUGGAAGUGAAAUCCAUGGGCUCAACCCAUGAACUGCUUUCAAAACUGUUUUUCUUGAGUAGUGCAGAGGUAGGCGGAAUUCCCGGUGUAGCGGUGGAAUGCGUAGAUAUCGGGAGGAACACCAGUGGCGAAGGCGGCCUACUGGGCACCAACUGACGCUGAGGCUCGAAAGUGUGGGUAGCAAAC
rnacentral:rRNA from 1 species